rnacentral:rRNA from 1 species
AACGAACGCUGGCGGCAUGCCUAACACAUGCAAGUCGAACGAGACCUUCGGGUCUAGUGGCGCACGGGUGCGUAACGCGUGGGAACCUGCCCUUAGGUUCGGAAUAACUCCCCGAAAGGGGUGCUAAUACCGGAUAAUGUCUUCGGACCAAAGAUUUAUCGCCUUUGGAUGGGCCCGCGUUGGCUUAGCUAGUUUGUAGGGUAAAAGCCUACCAAGGCGACGAUCCAUAGCUGGUCUGAGAGGAUGAUCAGCCACACUGGGACUGAGACACGGCCCAGACUCCUACGGGAGGCAGCAGUGGGGAAUAUUGGACAAUGGGCGAAAGCCUGAUCCAGCAAUGCCGCGUGAGUGAUGAAGGCCUUAGGGUUGUAAAGCUCUUUUACCCGGGAUGAUAAUGACAGUACCGGGAGAAUAAGCUCCGGCUAACUCCGUG